CAGCAGCCGCGGGAAUACGUAGGUGGCAAGCGUUGUCCGGAAUUAUUAGGCGUAAAGGGCUCGCAGGCGGUUUCUUAAGUCUGAUGUGAAAGCCCCCGGCUCAACCGGGGAGGGUCAUUGGAAACCGGGAAACUUGAGUGCAGAAGAGGAGAGUGGAAUUCCACGUGUAGCGGUGAAAUGCGUAGAGAUGUGGAGGAACACCAGUGGCGAAGGCGACUCUCUGGUCUGUAACUGACGCUGAGGAGCGAAAGCGUGGGGAGCGAACAGGAUUAGAUACCCCUGUAGUCCCUGUCUCUUAUAC
rnacentral:rRNA from 1 species